UACGAAGGGGGGCUAGCGUUGCUCGGAAUCACUGGGCGUAAAGCGCACGUAGGCGGAUCUUUAAGUCAGGGGUGAAAUCCUGGAGCUCAACUCCAGAACUGCCUUUGAUACUGAGGAUCUUGAGUCCGGGAGAGGUGAGUGGAACUCCGAGUGUAGAGGUGAAAUUCGUAGAUAUUCGGAAGAACACCAGUGGCGAAGGCGGCUCACUGGCCCGGUACUGACGCUGAGGCGCGAAAGCGUGGGGAGCAAACGGG
rnacentral:rRNA from 1 species